rnacentral:rRNA from 1 species
AGUGAACGCUGGCGGUAGGCUUAACACAUGCAAGUCGAACGGCAGCACAGUAAGAGCUCGCUCUUACGGGCGGCGAGUGGCGGACGGGUGAGGAAUACAUCGGAAUCUACUUUUUCGUGGGGGAUAACGUAGGGAAACUUACCCUAAUACCGCAUACGACCUACGGGUGAAAGCAGGGGAUCUUCGGACCUUGCGCGAUUGAAUGAGCCGAUGUCGGAUUAGCUAGUUGGCGGGGUAAAGGCCCACCAAGGCGACGAUCCGUAGCUGGUGUGAGAGGAUGAUCAGCCACACUGGAGCUGAGACACGAUCCAGACUCCUACGGGAGGCAGCAGUGGGGAAUAUUGGACAGUGGGCGCAAGCCUGCUCCAGCCAUACCACGUGGGUGAAGAAGGCCUUCGGGUUGUAAAGCCCUUUUGUUGGGAAAGAAAAGCAGCAGGUUAAUACCACGCUGUUCUGACGGUACCUAAAGAAUAAGCACCGGCUAACUUCGUG